ACUUGUGACACAUGCCAACGAGUGGGGAAGAGAGGGGACCACCCUAAAGCUCGGCUGUCACCCAUGCCUGUGAUCGAGGAACCGUUUAGCCGGGUGGCAGUCGACCUAGUGGGACCCCUACCUAACCCCAGUCCCUCGGGUAAGAAAUAUAUUCUUACAGUAGUGGACUAUGCUACCCGCUACCCAGAGGCUGUCGCUCUGACGAAUAUCCAGGCUGACACUGUCGCCAGUGCACUAGUCGGGAUAUUUACCAGAGUGGGAUUCCCUCAUGAAAUCCUAUCUGACCGAGGGACCCAGUUCACCGCAGAUCUAACCCAGCAGUUAUGGAAGGUCUGUGGUGUCAAGACCCUGCUCAGCUCCCCGUACCACCCCCAGACUAACGGUCUCUGUGAGUGCUUUAAUGGUACCCUAAAGCAAUUGCUAAGGACCUUUACAGCGGAAUACAGAGACUGGGAGCGAUUCUUGCCGCACCUCUUGUUCGCAUAUCGAGAGGUGCCCCAGGAAUCCACAGGGUUCUCUCCCUUCGAGCUGCUCUAUGGACGGCGAGUACGAGGCCCCCUCGACCUCAUCCGAGAGCACUGGGAGGGAGAGAUAGAGCAUGAGGGCGUUCCUAUCGUACCUUAUGUGCUGGAGAUGCGGGACCGCAUGGGGCACCUAGCCAGAAUGGCCCGAGAACAUCUCCAGGCAGCCCAGGGACGUCAGAAACACUGGUACGAUCGGGGCGCCCGAUUGAGAACGUUCCAAGUAGGGCAGAAAGUUCUGGUACUUAGACCUGUCAAGGGAAACAAGCUGCAGACCUCCUGGCAAGGCCCUUACAAGUUAGUGGCCCAGGUAUGUGACACCACCUAUGUAAUUGCCAGUAGCCAAGAUGAAAGGGUCCAGAAGUCGUUUCAUGUCAAUUUGUUAAAAGAAUACCAAGAAAGGCCCGAAGAUAUAGCGGCCAUAUGUAUCCCGGCCACUGAAGACCCUGACAGUCUUCCCAUCCCAGAUUUGUUAGCUGACUCCGAGCCAAAAACUCUG